CACGCCCUAAACGAUGCUCACUAGGUGUUGGGGAAGCGAUUCCUUGGUACCGUAGCUAACGCGUGAAGUGAGCCGCCUGGGGAGUACGGCCGCAAGGUUAAAACUCAAAGGAAUUGACGGGGACCCGCACAAGCGGUGGAUGAUGUGGAUUAAUUCGAUGCAACGCGAACAACCUUACCUACCCUUGACAUGUCCGGAAGCCUGCUGAAAGGUGGGUGUGCCCGAAAGGGAACCAGAACACAGGUGC
rnacentral:rRNA from 1 species